CUAUUCAUGAUAGAUUUAGUUCAAGUUUAAUCUCAGUUAUCUUUCGAUACCCUUCGUUUAGCCUCUGCGACAGCUUUUCCUUAAUACCCAUAAUAGCUUUUGUUAUCAGCAAUUAAUUAAUCGAAAAAUUUAAUACUUAGAGGUAUCUAUGUCUAACAAAGUAACUGGUUCAGUAAAAUGGUUUAACGAAACGAAAGGUUUCGGUUUUAUUUCUCAAGACAACGGUGGUAACGAUGUGUUUGUUCACUUCAACUCUAUCGUUUCAACAGGUUUUAAAACUUUGGCAGAAGGCCAACGCGUAACAUUUGAAGUUGAGCAAGGCAAAAAAGGCCCACAAGCUGCAAACGUAACUGCGCUAUAAUUUUAAUGGCGUGG
rnacentral:sRNA from 1 species